CAUCACAUGCAAUUAGUUCAAGCGGUCAAACUGGUAGAGCACAGUGCAACCAGUUUGUCCAGUUGAACAAAUAUCCCGGCUUUAAAAAUGCUUGUUCUUUUGUCGUUUCUAUUUAUUAUUUUUCUGCUCUCCUCAUCAGCAUAAGUAGCAGCAGCUUUGUUUUUCCUCUUAUGUGCAUAAUGCAUAUACAUGCUAUUACAUGCUUAUGAUUUUGAACGAUGUUUUACUUUCUGCCUUACCAUUAUUGCAAAAGUUCCAACAUAUCUUGACAGCUAGAGUCUUGUACUUGUACGUAGGCUAAGAAAUGUGCAUUUGAUGGCCCUAAUGGGUUAGUACUGCCAUUUUUGCUUCUAUUUUGUGUGGACAUUUGCAUGGUUAUAGUGUUCUCACGUUUAAAACACUAACCCAGUGAAACUACACAUCUAGGACCCUUUUAUUAAACCUGGAGACGGAGAAUGAGAAGCUUCGCAGCAUUCCCCAUGCUGUAGUUCCUCCCUUGUUAGUUAGUGAUUGAAGAAGUGCAAAAGCAUGCUCCAAAGAAGAAUAUUUUUCUAUCGAAGAAGUAAAAUGCUGGAGUAUUAGGUUUCCCCUUAAAUCAAUUGAGAGGACAAAGUGUGAAAAGGACGAAUCUAUAAUUGCUAGACAAAUACAGAAAGAAUAAUCUCUCUCUUAUAAUUGGUGCAUAACAGUCUGAGUUACGGACUGAGAACCACUAUCUACAAGUUCAUGAUGAUAGAUACUAUCAUGGUAUCUAGUAUAGCAAGAUACUGUAGAGCAUUUAUAGUUAUAUGCAUGCCAUAGCCUCUUUAGGCACACAAGGUUUGCUUCCCGCCUAUGUUUUAGCAUAAUUCAUGUGUUGUACUUUUACAUUUACCCAACAAAGGUAUCUGAACAUCACGUUAGUUAUGGUCAUAUAUCUAAGGAACACUGGACUGAAAUCAAGUUGACUUUUUUUUGGCAACAGCAAGUAGAGGUGUGGCUUGUGUUUUAGCUGCAAGAAAGAAGGCCCUGAUUUGCAUACUGGACGAGUAAGAAGAAGAAUCUCUUAUUUAGAAUGACUGUUUGUUCAAGAGUUUGUGAUGGUUAUACUUGAGUUGCUGCUGUGGGUGGGCCUCUAAUACUUGAAGCUGCAGACAUCGGUGUGAGAAGCAAUGCAUGUGGGCUUUCUGACUGAAGCUCUUUGACUCCACCCUUCUUCGAGAAGUCCUAACCUGUACUUGCCAUGUGCCUCUUCUGCUAGGCGGGCAUUUGUUGAAGGAAAAAGUGGAGUAAAAGGUAACAAUUUAUCUAUUGAUUUGGAUAGAAUUGACCGAAAGAUGGCGAGUCAUGGCUUCUAUCCGGUGGUAACCGCCUUCAUGGUAUUGCUAUAAGCUUUGAGACCUACUUGAUAGUGCCAAGCUUUUGCUUCAUCUGUAUAUGUUCAUUAUUUUCAUGUGUAAGGGAACCAAAUAUUUGGUUUGGACUAUCUAUACUUUGGGUUCAGUGGUUCGGGCAGUGUGCUUGGCUAACGAACUCUACAUUUGCAUAUUGAAAUCUCUCGCUUGAGAUUGACUCA